AGUUUCAUGCUAUUUGACAAAUUGACACCAUCAAAUCAUUUAGGGAAGUUGCCAAAGUAAAGAUUCUAUAUUUACAGAUUUCACCUCUUAGGUCCGAGACCACAAUUAUUUCGUAGUGCAUUUCUUUUAGAAGAUAAAUGAAAAUUAAAAAAAAUCCCACCUGCGCUUUCUCAAUGAAAUUUUUACAGUGUGUUGUACUACUUUUGGG
rnacentral:lncRNA from 1 species